UACGAGGGGGGCAAGCGUUGUUCGGAAUUAUUGGGCGUAAAGGGCGCGUAGGCGGUGCGGUAAGACUGUGGUGAAAUCUUCGGGCUCAACUCGAAGCCUGCCGCGGUGACUGCCGUGCUGGAGUGUGGGAGAGGUGAGUGGAAUUCCCGGUGUAGCGGUGAAAUGCGUAGAUAGUCGGGAGGAACACCUGUGGCGAAAGCGGCUCACUGGACCACUACUGACGCUGAUGCGCGAAAGCUAGGGGAGCAAACAGG
rnacentral:rRNA from 1 species